GGCGGCAUAGCUCAGCUGGGAGAGCAACAGACUGAAGGCAAUUUCAGACCAUCUGAAGGUCCGGUGUUCAAUCCACGGUGCUACCA